CCUACGGUGAGCUGCAGUGAGGAAUAUUGGUCAAUGGACGAGAGUCUGAACCAGCCAAGUAGCGUGAAGGAUGACUGCCCUAUGGGUUGUAAACUUCUUUUAUAAAGGAAUAAAACGAGGCACGUGUGCCUUUUUGCAUGUACUUUAUUAAUAAGGAUCGGCUAACUCCGUGCCAGCAGCCGCGGUAAUACGUAGGAUCCGAGCGUUAUCCGGAUUUAUUGGGUUUAAAGGGAGCGUAGAUGGGUUGUUAAGUCAGUUGUGAAAGUUUGCGGCUCAACCGUAAAAUUGCAAUUGAUACUGGCAGUCUUGAGUACAGUUGAGGUAGGCGGAAUUCGUGGUGUAGCGGUGAAAUGCUUAGAUAUCACGAAGAACCCCGAUUGCGAAGGCAGCUUACUAAACUGUGACUGACAUUGAUGCUCGAAAGUGUGGGUAUCAAACAGGAUUAGAUACCCUAGUAGUC
rnacentral:rRNA from 1 species